CUGAACUCUAUGCUUGAUUGGGCAGGGGCAGUGCCUGCUAACCCCGGUGUGACGGGUAAUCAAAACUCUAAUACUCCGACGCGCGCCUAUAGUGUCAUAUGGGACGUACGGAGCUCGGUGAAGAGCGGAUACGUGGUCUGAGACGGCCAUGCCCGCAGGAGGCUAUAAA
rfam:Firmicutes bacterium ASF500 genomic scaffold adhIg-supercont1.5, whole genome shotgun sequence.